ACCCAAAUAUCUAAACGGGGAAAUUCAAUAUUGCUGUCAAAGCGCAAUGUGCACUUUUCCUUUAGUAAGACGCUGUGAUCCAUUAGAAAUUGGACCGUUCCAACGGUUAAUGGGCCAUCAAUAGGCCGACACGAAGUUCAUCGGUGCGAAUGUGUGGCUCUUCAAUGGGUCGCUGUAUCGCUUGGUGAGCGUGCCGGUACCUGUAAUGGCUGUCUGAUGGAUUUUAAAGAUCAUAUCACUCGGUGCCUCGGCACUGCCCCGCAUUGGGGGAGUUGUUUCUGGGAUAUGUAUCCGAUCGACAGCGGUUAAAUUUGGGAUACCUUUUGGACCCGUCUUGAAACACGGACCAAGGAGUCUAUCUAGUAUGCGAGUAAAUGGGUAGAUGAAACCUAUUUGCGCAAUAAACUUGACUGUUUUCCCAUGGGAUUACGAGUGUGCAUAUUUGCGUAUGCCACUCUUCCAUCUCGGGGUAUUUCCAUCCAACAUAUGCAGCAAUGUAUAUGGGAAAUAUACCAUGAGCGUACUGGAUACGACCCGAAAGAUGGUGAACUAUGCCUGAUCAGGUUGAAGUCAGGGGAAACCCUGAUGGAGGACCGAAACAGUUCUGACGUGCAAAUCG
rnacentral:rRNA from 1 species